rnacentral:rRNA from 1 species
GGACUACCAGGGUAUCUAAUCCUGUUUGCUCCCCUUGCUUUCGCGCCUCAGCGUCAGGUAUAAGCUAGAAAACCGCCUUCGCCACCGGUGUUCUUCCACAUAUCUACGCAUUUCACCGCUACUUGUGGAAUUCCGUUUUCUCCGCCUACCCUCUAGAAGUGUAGUUUCAAAUGCUGUUCCGAGGUUGAGCCUCGGGAUUUCACAUCUGACUGGCACUCCCGCCUACGCGCCCUUUACGCCCAAUAAAUCCGAUUAAUGCUUGUACCCUACGUAUUACCGCGGCUGCUGGCAC